GUGCCAGCCGCCGCGGUAAUACGUAGGUGGCAAGCGUUGUCCGGAAUUAUUGGGCGUAAAGCGCGCGCAGGUGGUUUCUUAAGUCUGAUGUGAAGGCCCACGGCUUAACCGUGGAGGGUCAUUGGAAACUGGGAGACUUGAGUGCAGAAGAGGAAAGUGGAAUUCCAAGUGUAGCGGUGAAAUGCGUAGAGAGUGGGAGGAACACCAGUGGUGAACGCGACUGUCUGGGCUGCAACUGACGCUGAGGCGCGAAAGCAUGGGGAGUAAACAGG
rnacentral:rRNA from 1 species